UACAGCGAUGAAAACAUUGACGGAUGUGAAUGAGCUUCAUGCUCGAAUAACCGAGAGCGCAUAACUCGUGUGGAUAACCCGUUGCCUUCCUUCUGACCUGU
rnacentral:snoRNA from 1 species